rnacentral:ncRNA from 1 species
UCUUAUCUAGAGAGGCAGAGGGACUGGCCCGAUGAAGCCCAGCAACCUGAAUAUUCCAUACGUAUUCAAGGUGCUAAUUCCUGCAAAUCAUACGGUGAUUUGGAAGAUAAGA